GAGGGUAUAGCUCAGUGGUAGAGCAUGUGCUUAGCAUACAGGAAGUCCUGGGUUCAAUUCCCCAGUACCUCCA
rnacentral:tRNA from 1 species